AGCACCUCAUGAGCCAUUUGCCUGGGCUGGCUUUGAACCAUGAAGGCUUGAGCCACCAGUGCCCAGCUGCUUUUCUCUUUUGAUGCAGAAAUGUAUUUGAUAAACUUAAAUAUGUAUUAAUUGGAAAAGUAAGAACAGAAGAAAAUCUAAUACGGGAUGUCCAUUCCAAUGCUAUAGUUAACAAUGAAAUAUCAGAAGCAUUUUUUUAAAGUCAGCAGGAUAUGAAUGUUCACUGCCACUACUUCCACUCAACCAUAUUUUAGGGGGAUGGUUCUAGAAUGCUUCCAAGCUUGAUGGGGAAUUUAAAUUUUUAAAAAUUUUCUAGUAGCCAUUUUAAAUAUGUUCAUAUCAUAAUAGAAUGAAAAUAGAACUUUUGUGAUAUGACAAUUAAAAUCAAGUGUAGUCCUACUCUAAAAUUGUGUUUAAUGGGGCAAUUUUUUAUACAGCUUCAGUGUUUAGGUUGUAAAUUAAUUAAGCAUUCAUUUCCUCAGUAGCAUUAACUGCAUUUCAAGAGCUCAGUGGUCACAUGUGGCUCACGGCUGCCGUUAUAUUCUGCUCAUCACCAGCACACCAAGGUGAUGAAAUAACUAAAAGUGUAAAGUACUAUAAAGAAGCCUCAGUGUCACCAUGCACACAUGAUAGGAUAGUUUACAUGGAAAUCCACCUAAAUUAACAGUUAUUUAAACUUUUAGAAGAUUAUAGUUAGGUAGCCAGGACAGGGAUCCAUAUAUAAAACUCUUUCUCAGUUCUACCUGUUGUGCUGGUGGAGUGGCUCAAGUGGUAGAGAGCUUGCCCAGCAAGCAUGAGGCCCUGAGUUCAAGCCCCAUACCACAUAAAAAGAGAGAGAGGGAGAGAAUCAAUUCUACCUAUUAACUAGCAAUAAACAGUUACCUUCUUUGAUAACCAACCUGAAAGAUCUAUCCACACAUUUAUGAGAAAUCACAUUUCCAAUUCUGACAAUUACUUGUUUCUCGUGGAGUGUACUUAUCUUAUUGAAAAGGAAUUUUUAUAUCAUGGAUCCUAACCCACAAUUAGCAAUAUGUCUUUUAAGGGCCUCCCUCUACAUUUCUAAUUUUCAGAGUUUGAAGGACACAUAAUCUUUAAAAAAAAAAAGUAAUGUUUGUUAGUCUUUUAAGGUUAGCCAAAGAAAUGAAUCUUUUAAGAAAUCCUCUCACAAUAUCAUUUAAAAAAUUGCUCGUUGGUUUUCUUGAAAAGCUUACCUUUCACAAUCAAGGCUUUAAUCCAUCAGGAUUUGAUUUUUGUAUAUGGAGUGAGGAAGGGAUUCAACUUCAUAUCUCUGCAAGUCAACCAGUUGUCCUAUUACAUUUCAUAGCAUUCUUUCCUAGUGAUUACGAUGCCACAUCUGUCCAUUUUCCAUAUGGUGGGGGGUGUUCCUCCAGGCUCUCUAUUCUGUUUAAUUGGCCAUGUGUCUACCUCUGCAUCCAGCAUACUUCAUACAACACAUACAUACAGCUGCACCGUAUUCAUAACUGUUAGAGCAAGAUUCCCUGUCAUCUUCUCCAUUCUCAGAUGUCCACUGGCCUCUCUUAGACUUUUCUUUUUCCAUUUAUAUUUCAGAGUUGAGAUUUUGAUGACUGUGGCAUUGAAUCUGCUCAUCAGUUUGAGGAAAACUGAAGUACUUGUAAUAGUGGAGGUUCUUAUCCAGGAGUGGACAUUUAUUUCUAUUUAUUUAGGUCUUCUGUGUCUUCAAGUAUUUGCAUUUGAGCCUUGAACGUCUUUUGUUAACAUCUUAGAUUGGUGCCUAUUGUUUUGUUUCUGGUAUAAACUUUUACUUAUUAUCAAGACAGAGAUGGGUGCCUCCUAGGUGUCAAAGGCAAAACUGGAGCCAUCUAUCCAGACACUGUGCCUGCUUUGUGACUUCCUACACCACCUCACGUUUUUUCAUUUGUACAUCUAAAUAAACCUGGGAUCUAUUAACUCCUGCCAUUUGCUCCCCUCCCAACCCCCACCCCCGCCAACUCCAAUUUACUCUGCAAGCAAGGACUGCUAUGAUUUCUAAAUGCACCUGAGACAGGUCCAUGUUUCCCUCCAAACUUGCCAGAGGUUGCUCUUUCAACUCCAGGAGUCCAAGCUUGUUCCCUGCAUGUCAUUAACAUCACAGGCUUCCUAUCCAGCUGUUGCCUUGUAUUUUAUUAACUUAUUCAUAAAAACCUAAAAACUGUACAUAAUAAUGGAGUACUAUGUGAUGUUUUGCCACAUGUAUACCUUGUGGACUGUUUAAAUUAUAUUUAUCACCUCAAACACUUGUCAUUUCUUCUUUUUUUGGUAGUACUGGGGUUUGAACUCAGAGGUGCUCUACCACUUGAGACACUCCACCAAGCCUUGUUUGUGUUGGAAAUUUUUACCUGGGGAAAUAUUUGCCUGGGGCUGGCUUCAAACCACCACCCUCCUGAUUUCUGCCUCUUGAGUAACUAGGAUUACAGGCGUAAGCCACCAGCACCUGCCUCUGAUGUCCUAGUGGUUGCUGCCUGUGUUGCCUGUGGAGGGAGCCGCCUGCAUAGGGCUGCAGCCAGGGUCCUUCUCCACACCCAUCCACCAGCUCCCUGUCCUGCACAUGUAGGACCUGCACGUGAUCUGCCCUGGAGGAUUCUACCUCUGUCCCAGUCUUGAUCCUUUGAAGAGAUGCUGGCUAAAGCCACAUGAUGGACAGCUUUUCUUGGGGAAUUCCUGACUAUGGACUGUACCAGAAUCUGCUCAGUCGCCUUUUCUAGAUUCACAGGACUCUGUUUGCACCUUAAAGAGAAACCAAGUGUGGUCCCUCAAACCCUGCUGAUCAGCCUGGGUGAGGUGUUAUCCCCAUUACUGUCCAGUGAGUCAGACAACUCACCCCAUGUUUGGAUGCCAGUCAGAUGGAGGGGAACACAACAGGACUGUGAAGGAGAUGAACCUGAGUUUGAGUCCCAAUCUACUCCUGGCUUUGCAGUCUCAUGGAGGGGUAAUAAGCGUGGCACCCUGAGUCUCUGGCCCCUGUGUCAGGUGGGACCCCCAUAUCCCCCUCUCUGAAGGAUAGGCCCUGAGUGAGUAAGGCUCCUCACAGACCAUGUGGUCCUGUCCUCACCCCAAGAAUGGGGCCUGAGGUUUCUGAGUUACCAGGCAAAUCCCUGGAAGCAAUGACCCUGAGUUUGGAUCCCAUAUAGCGAACAGAAACACAGAGUCCAGGUGGCUCAGGGUUCUCCCUAGCCGUCACAGGUCCCAUGUUCCUUCCAUCCUGCUGUGCUCGGGGAUGGGCUCACAGCCUGUGGGGGCAGGAGGCGUGGGGAGGGCAGGAGACUCUGAGUAAAUAAUGCAGAGCAAGCCGUGCUGAUUGGCUUCGGAGGCGGAUACUUUGUCUACAUAAAUGGCAAUCGCAUCCUCUGUGCCUUUUAACUGUCACCAAGGAGAGGAGGAAGAGCGGUCAGAGAGGAGGCGACUCCCGGCUGCUUGUGAGUACUGCUCUUUGUCUAUACAGCUCAGGGCUGACCCUUGUGCCCAGCUCUUAGAUGUCCACGUCCCUGGGGCUAGAAUGGAAGUUUGCAGUGGUUCUGGCUGUGUCAAUUCCCUGUCCAUCAGGGAGAAGGGGACACUGCUGGCUGCAAUGACUGAGCACCCAGUGUACACAGGUGGCAGGGCUGCUUUGAGAACUUUCUGGGGAAUUAGGUGACAGUGUAGAUCAGCCUCAUUUUUUUUUAGUCAUCUCUAAGUGACAAAUCCAGCAAAGUGCUGGGAUCUUCUGAUAACUUUUUAGCCCUUAUUCUGACUUACUUUGGCAACAUGACCAAGUGAGGGGAUCACUGGACUCCAGGACAUGUGGGGCCCUUGAAGGCAGUGGGAUAGGUGGUAGAAGGAGAAGGCUGUGGGGUCCCCAGUCCUGGAUGUGCUCUAUAGGUAGAAGAGAGCCAACAGCAUUUUCCUACAAAGUUGCAGGAAAAGCCAGGCCCGAUCUUAUCAAGGCCAGGGCACACAGUAGGUACUAGCAAUUGGCAGCUCUGUGAUGGAUGAGCAGGUGCUCUUUGGGGAUAUUAAAGAUGCCAGAGAGAAACAGACUCUGUGUUUGGGGCCACCCAAGCUCCAACUGGCAGCCUGCAGCAUUCCUAGGCCAAAACCAGCAGGCACCCCAGUGCAAAGAGGGUGUAGUACGUGGUAGAGUGUCUGAAUAUUUUUGAAGGAGACAAAAUCAUGUCAUCUGCUGUGGUCUCCUCUCUUUUUUUCUGGGCACACAGUGGGUGGACCACUGCACACAGCUGGUACCAAUAAAAUAAUGAAAAUCAAACCUCCUUUCAAACGUCCAGACUGCCAAAGAAAUGGCUGUGGCUAUAAUUAGCAUUUAUUUGAGCUGUUCAUUAUUCUGACGUUUUUGAGCCUGGGCCCCUCAGAAACUCAACUUGCGGCAAGUUUGGGGAAAUACUACAGGGAAAUUAGGCUGGUGGAUAUUUUAAAUGAGAGGCCCUGGUGUUUUUCUUGGUAUUCGUAGCAUUUUUGAAAGAAGAUACUCGUGGGACAUUAAUGCACCGCACAGGCCUAUGGAACAGUGAUUGGCACAUGGGCUCAAAGGAAUGGUUAAAACUCCACUGUGUUCUGAGGGUCCUCAGGCCAGAGGGAAACAGGUUCAUAUUCCAGUCUAGACAGAUCCAUGUGCAUAAACCACUUUUGAGCUGCAUAGACUUGGAAAAACCACUUGCUCCCCUGCAUCUAUGUCCUUAUUUCCAAAAAGGGGUAACUAUGUGCUCUACGGAGUCAAUGCAUAGAGAACAGACAGGGGCUUCCACCACGCCCUGUGUACAGAGACUAUUGGUCACAUUUUAUUGUGGAAGAGGGAGGGACAGGCACUCCUCUCAGGCCACAGAGGGAAGCAGAGAUGUUCAGCCUGUCUGUUUCCAUGGGGAUCUGCUCAGGCAGGUGGUGGCAGACGUGGGGGCUCAGUCCUCUUCCCUGAAGCCAUGGUUUCCUGUGUGUGAAUGGUCAGAAUCCUUGGAACUGCACUUGGUCUUGCAGACACAGCUUCCCCCAUUAUAGGUGGGGGCCCCUGUUAGGGACUGGGGUAUGUCUGUGGCUCUCAGGCUAUUGUGACAGUGCUGGAUGCCCAGGACAAAAGUGUAAGGGGCGGAGAGGAUGGCACCCACUUGUGCACUUGCUGGUUGUGUGACCUUGGUAUAACAGCAAUAAUAAUAUCUGGCAGGGGUUUUAAGAGUGUUGAAUGAAGCCCAGUGCUGGAGGCUUAUGCCUAUAAUCUUAGCUACUCAGGAGGCAGAGAUCAGGAGGAUCAUGGUUGGAAGCCAGCCCUGGUAAAUAAGUUCACGAAACCUUAUCUCAAA